UAAAACAUCAUCAAGAAAAACAUAAUUAUGAAUAUAUUUAAGGUAUUUUGUUUGAUAUGUUUGGUUCUUUUAAAUAUAGCAAUUGUGGAUGCAGGGGCAAGAACUUCUGUUGCUGUAACUGCAAAGGCAAAAACCUCAGUUUCUGUCAAUAAAAUGGAUCCUUGUAAAAAAUAUGGAAAUCGAUUUCCAGGAUGUCCUCCUACCAAGAAACAAAUUGCUUUCAACAAACAAAUUUCUCAUAAAAAAGUUGCUCGUAAAAAAGUAUACGGAUACGGUCAGGGCUUGCUAAGUAGUACACCGUGCAUAGGCGUUUAACAGAAGGAUACAACGGAAGUAAAAAAUGAAGAUAAAUUAUGUAUUACUGAAAAUGUAAGGGUGAAGUUAUGUGUUUUAACAAAAUAUAAGGAUGAAAUAGUAAUUUUUUUCUAUAAUUAUAUUGUAAUUGUAAAUUAUUUAUUGUAAUUAUUGAAGAUUUUGAUUUGAUAUUUUAAAUUUUGAUGACAUCUCUUUUAUUUUCUAUGUACAAUCAUCUUACAUCUUAGAAGGUGACUUCAUAGGUGUGUUAUAUGAAUUAAAUUUUCUGUUUCUUUU
rnacentral:lncRNA from 1 species